CAUUCGGACGAAAAUAAAAUACAAGAAGGAUCCUCUUCUGACAUCUCUGUUUAAAUAAAAGUACACUAAGCUAUGGGUUAUCGACUGAAAGAACUACUACCCACAUUGUUUGUGACCAGCCUUGUGAUGUUAGCCUGGAUCUUUGUCCUUGUCGCUGGUUAUCAUGUCGCAGUUAAGAUGGUGGAUACAAUGGAAUGAAGCGCUCAACUAGACCAAAUGCAGUAUGUGUUAAAUGCUGACAUCUGUUUUUUACAGUAUCCUCUGUCAUCACAAGUGCAAAGAUAAUACUGCGUGUUGCCGUUUGAUUGAAGCCUAACUUUCCGAACACUCAAGAAAGGAUGUGUAACGGGUUUAAAAAAUGCCAUCUCCUACCCAAGAAGUGGACAAGAAAAGAAUGUGUUAACUCAUAGGAAACACAACAUGGCCGGUUCAUUCGAAGUUGGGUUUAGCUAACCCAGGGUUAGUGAGAAAUCUGAUUUCAGAUCUGAAAGCUUUAAAAGAAUAUUUAGUAGAGUUCUUUUUGUACAGAAUUCGAUGAUUGGAUGCUCUAUAAAGAAUAGAGAAAACUGCCCAAUAGAGCCUUUUUGAACAAAGGACUAAUUAGGAACCUCAGAUUACAAUUCAACCUUGGGUUAGCCCUAAUCAGCCUUUGAACCGGGCCCAGAGUAUGAACACCCUUUGAAGUUUCUUCAAAUGCUGCUUUGAACAUUGCACUGAUCUAAGCAGUAAGGAGGGCUGUUUCAUACAAGAUUAGCUCAUGAGUUUCGAUAACUUUUUAUAUUAGUGGCUAGCAAAGGUAUAUUAGGCACAGUGAGCAGUUACACCCAGUAAUCAGGCUGCAAGGCAAAUCCCAAACAGGAGUUCCAGCCUGCAGGCUUAACAGACAGCAGUAAGAGGUCUUACGGGUGGUGGUAGGCUGCCAGUAAGCAGCUAUUACUGAAAACCUUGCUCACUCACCAGUGGAUUACCAGUGGCUCACUCAGACUGCACAUCUGUGAAAUCAUUUAACCCUUUAACUCCCACAAGUGACCAAGACAGAAUUUCUCCCUACAAUAUUACUACAAUAUCAAGCAGACAAGUGAUGAGAAUUAAAAAAAUGUAAAUUAGGGAAUUAUUGGUUGAUCCAAGACCAAAUUCUCCAAACUGCUGUAACAUCAUAAUAAUUGUAUGACAGACAGUAAUGAGAAUUACUAAUGAGAAUUAUUAAUGAGAUCUUAGAAGUGAAGGCGUUAAUGAAAGGCAAGUUUCCUUUUUCUCGAUUGCUGAUUUCAUUUGAGUGAGGUGUUAUGUAGCAUUAAAUGUAAUGCCAAUGUAUUUGAAAGUUUGGCAGUUUUUUUAAAUAUUGAAGGUUUUCCCAUCAAAGAAUUGCAUACUUAACACAGUAUACACCAAAUCUUAUCUUGCUGACUGUGCAAACUUCACUCCCCCACCCCCACCCCUCUGAGUUUUUUACUGUGGACUACCCCCUUGGUACAAAUUCCUUUCUCCCCCAAGCCUUUGCUGCCAUUUAAAUCAAAGAUGGCUGCAAAAAUUUUCGUUAAGAAAAUACUGAACACUUUCUAGCCAAAAUUAUGCCUGCUCCGCAGGCCAAGUCUUUAAUAGCUUCCCAUUCUCUAAUGAGCCAGGAAAUUUGAACCUUUCAAAGAAACAGAGAACAAAGAAAGACUUUGAAAUUGAAUAGUAUUAUUCUAGCCAACCAAAUAGUAAUGCUACAUAUCUGGGUGUUGCCAUGGUUAUCUUUAUGAGAAACUGUUACAGUUCAAAUUUACAAUUUUACAAUGAAUCUUAAUAAUGACAGCAACUGAAACAAAUACACUGAUCUCUGACGACCUUUGUUCAAUACUUUUUAAAUUAAUAUAUUGUAUUAUCCAACUGCACCAAGUAAAGUAAAAGUGAUGUGUGAAUCAAGUACAAAUAUCCUGCAAUAUUGUACAGUCAGUUAUUUUCUAUGGUUAAAAAAAAAAACCUGUUUAACCAGUUGGCUAAGUGCGCUACACUUUCCAAUCAGCUCUCCCUUCUCACUCUUUAAGAAAU